rnacentral:rRNA from 1 species
CCUACGGGUGGCAGCAGUGAGGAAUAUUGGUCAAUGGGCGCGAGCCUGAACCAGCCAAGUCGCGUGCGGGAAGACGGUCCUAUGGAUUGUAAACCUCUUUUGUAGGGGAGCAAAAGCCGCUACGCGUAGCGUUCCGAGAGUACCCGACGAAAAAGGAUCGGCUAACUCCGUGCCAGCAGCCGCGGUAAUACGGAGGAUGCGAGCGUUUUCCGGAUUUAUUGGGUUUAAAGGGUGCGCAGGCGGAGGAUCAAGUCAGCGGUAAAAUGUCCGGGCUAAACCCGGGCCGGCCGUUGAUACUGGGGAGCUUGAGUGUGCGAGAGGUAUGCGGAAUGCGUGGUGUAGCGGUGAAAGGCAUAGAUAUCACGCAGAACUCCGAUUGCGAAGGCAGCAUACCGGGGCCCGACUGACGCUGAGGCACGAAAGCGUGGGGAGCGAACAGGAUUAGAUACCCGUGUAGUC